GACGAACGCUGGCGGCGUGCCUAAUACAUGCGAGUCGAACGCUUCUUUCCUCCCGAGUGCUUGCGCUCAAUUGGAAAGAGGAGUGGCGGACGGGUGAGUAACACGUGGGUAACCUACCCAUCAGAGGGGGAUAACACUUGGAAACAGGUGCUAAUACCGCAUAACAGUUUAUGCCGCAUGGCAUAAGAGUGAAAGGCGCUUUCGGGUGUCGCUGAUGGAUGGACCCGCGGUGCAUUAGCUAGUUGGUGAGGUAACGGCUCACCAAGGCCACGAUGCAUAGCCGACCUGAGAGGGUGAUCGGCCACACUGGGACUGAGACACGGCCCAGACUCCUACGGGAGGCAGCAGUAGGGAAUCUUCGGCAAUGGACGAAAGUCUGACCGAGCAACGCCGCGUGAGUGAAGAAGGUUUUCGGAUCGUAAAACUCUGUUGUUAGAGAAGAACAAGGACGUUAGCAACUGAACGUCCCCUGACGGUAUCUAACCAGAAAGCCACGGCUAACUACGUGCCAGCCGCCGCGGUAA
rnacentral:rRNA from 1 species